rnacentral:rRNA from 1 species
GACGUAGGUGGCGAACGUUAUCCGGAAUUAUUGGGCGUAAAGGGUGCGUAGAUGGCCUGACAAGUUAACAGUGGUAAAUCGAGGCUCAACCUCGUGGAAACUGAUAAUACUGUCUGGCUUGAGUACAGAAGAGGUUAACGGAAUUCCAUGUGGAGCGGUAAAAUGCAUAGAUAUAUGGAAGAACACCAAUAACGGCGAAGGCAGUUAACUAUUCUGUUACUGACAUUGAGGCACGAAAGCGUGGGGAGCAAAACGG